rnacentral:rRNA from 1 species
CUUGUACUAAUGUGCGAAAGCGUGAUACAGCGACGCCGCGUGAGCGAUGAAGCCCUUCGGGGUGUAAAGCUCUGUUAUAUGGGAAGAAACGGUUAUUGGUGAAUAGCCGGUAAUCCUGACGGUACCAUAUGAGCAAGUCACGGCUAACUCCGUGCCAGCAGCCGCGGUAAUACGGAGGUGGCGAACGUUGUUCGGAAUCACUGGGUGUAAAGGGUGUGUAGGCGGGGUAACAAGUCAGAUGUGAAAUCUUGCGGCUCAACCGUAAGCGUGCAUUUGAUACUGUUAUUCUUGAGUUCAGAAGAGGAGGGUGGAAUUCUUGGUGUAGCGGUGGAAUGCGUAGAUAUCAAGAAGAACACCGGUGGCGAAGGCGACCCUCUGGUCUGAAACUGACGCUGAGGCACGAAAGCUAGGGUAGCAAACA